AGAGUUUGAUCAUGGCUCAGAUUGAACGCUGGCGGCAUGCCUUACACAUGCAAGUCGAACGGCAGCACGGGAGCAAUCCUGGUGGCGAGUGGCGAACGGGUGAGUAAUAUAUCGGAACGUGCCCAGUCGUGGGGGAUAACGCAGCGAAAGCUGUGCUAAUACCGCAUACGAUCUCUGGAUGAAAGCGGGGGACUCGCAAGGGCCUCGCGCGAUUGGAGCGGCCGAUAUCAGAUUAGGUAGUUGGUGGGGUAAAGGCCUACCAAGCCUGCGAUCUGUAGCUGGUCUGAGAGGACGACCAGCCACACUGGAACUGAGACACGGUCCAGACUCCUACGGGAGGCAGCAGUAGGGAAUUUUGGACAAUGGGCGCAAGCCUGAUCCAGCAAUGCCGCGUGCAGGAUGAAGGCCUUCGGGUUGUAAACUGCUUUUGUACGGAGCGAAACGGUCUGCCCUAAUACGGCGGGCUAAUGACGGUACCGUAAGAAUAAGCACCGGCUAACUACGUGCCAGCAGCCGCGGUAAUACGUAGGGUGCGAGCGUUAAUCGGAAUUACUGGGCGUAAAGCGUGCGCAGGCGGUGAUAUAAGACAGAUGUGAAAUCCCCGGGCUCAACCUGGGACCUGCAUUUGUGACUGUAUCGCUAGAGUACGGUAGAGGGGGAUGGAAUUCCGCGUGUAGCAGUGAAAUGCGUAGAUAUGCGGAGGAACACCGAUGGCGAAGGCAAUCCCCUGGACCUGUACUGACGCUCAUGCACGAAAGCGUGGGGAGCAAACAGGAUUAGAUACCCUGGUAGUCCACGCCCUAAACGAUGUCAACUGGUUGUUGGGUCUUCACUGACUCAGUAACGAAGCUAAC
rnacentral:rRNA from 1 species